rnacentral:rRNA from 1 species
GAUGAACGCUAGCGGGAGGCUUAACACAUGCAAGUCGAGGGGCAGCACGAGGUAGCAAUACUUUGGUGGCAACCGGCGCACGGGUGAGUAACGCGUAUGCAACCUACCCUGUACAGGGGGAUAACCCGGAGAAAUUCGGACUAAUACCCCAUAAAGAUAUUUAGAGGCAUCUUUGAAUAUUUAAAGUUCCGGCGGUACGGGAUGGGCAUGCGUAACAUUAGCUAGUUGGUAAGGUAACGGCUUACCAAGGCAACGAUGUUUAGGGGUCCUGAGAGGGUGAUCCCCCACACUGGUACGGAGACACGGACCAGACUCCUACGGGAGGCAGCAGUGAGGAAUAUUGGUCAAUGGGCGCAAGCCUGAACCAGCCAUCCCGCGUGAAGGAAGAAUGCGCUAUGCGUUGUAAACUUCUUUUCCAGGGGAAUAAAAUUUUGUACGUGUACGGAAUUGAAGGUACCCUGGGAAUAAGCAUCGGCUAACUCCGUGCCAGCAGCCGCAGUAAGAC